rnacentral:rRNA from 1 species
UACGAAGGGGGCUAGCGUUGCCCGGAAUUACUGGGCGUAAAGCGCACGUAGGUGGCUUUCUAAGUCGGGGGUGAAAUCCUGGAGCUCAACUCCAGAACUGCCUUCGAUACUGGAGAGCUCGAGUCCGGGAGAGGUGAGUGGAACUGCGAGUGUAGAGGUGAAAUUCGUAGAUAUUCGCAAGAACACCAGUGGCGAAGGCGGCUCACUGGCCCGGUACUGACGCUGAGGUGCGAAAGCGUGGGGAGCAAACAGG